GUCGUGAGACAGUUCGGUCCCUAUCUGCCGUGGGCGCUGGAGAAUUGAGGGGGGCUGCUCCUAGUACGAGAGGACCGGAGUGGACGCAUCACUGGUGUUCGGGUUGUCAUGCCAAUGGCACUGCCCGGUAGCUAAAUGCGGAAGAGAUAAGUGCUGAAAGCAUCUAAGCACGAAACUUGCCCCGAGAUGAGUUCUCCCUGAGACUUUAAGUCUCCUGAAGGAACGUUGAAGACGACGACGUUGAUAGGCCGGGUGUGUAAGCGCAGCGAUGCGUUGAGCUAACCGGUACUAAUGAACCGUGAGGCUUAACCUUAC
rnacentral:rRNA from 1 species